rnacentral:tRNA from 1 species
GCCCUUAUAACUCAAUAAUAGAGCUCCGGCCUGUCAAGCCACAGGUCGGUGGUUCAAAUCCACCCGGGCGCA